UCACGCUCUCUGGACCUUCUCCAUUCUCGCAACACCGCAGCUCCGCUUCUCGGCUUCUCCGGUAUCUCCGAUUCCACGAUUGACGAUUCCACGAGUCCGCGAACUCCGGUCACUCCCUGACUCCCUCACGCCCUCCGGCUUCUGCUUGAUGGCUUCUCCGUGACGCAUGGCUCCAUAGUUUCGGCCAACGAAUUCAGGCCUUCGCAGUUCGCUCCUCUGCCUCCAAGGCUCCGACGCCAACCAACUCCGUAGUCUAUCCUCACGCCCGGUACUCCGCAGUCCGCACUUAGGCAGUCAGGUUUGAACUUUGAAGGAUUUGAAUAUUUGAAGGGGAAGCUUGGCAGAAAUACAGAAUGUUCUUUCAUUUCAUAUUACUUUGUUUUGUUUAGACUUGGCACUUGCAGUGUGCAGCAUUUGCUAUUUUAGAUAUCAUAUUUUGUAUUUUGUUUAGACUUGCAGUGUGUAAUGCUAUGUUGGAUUUCAUUUUUUUGCAUUUUAACUUUGGACACAGGACAUUGGCUUUGACAGUUGGGACUUUGAAACAAUAUGUAUAAACUAUUAAGUGUUAAAGUAUUGCUUGCUUUUGUG